CCCUGCGGGAGGCUGUGCAGGCGUCCCCGGGCUCGGGAACCCCGCGCCUGGUGACAGACCCAACCCCUCAGGAGGAGGCAUGGGGAAGCGCCGAGCCUUCAUUCCGUGAGAGCGGUGGGUCAAUGUUGCGGGUUUCACGCUUCCCUGGCAUCGCGCUUCUGUGCAGUUUCCAAACGAUGCCGGGAAGUUGCUGUCUUGACUUCACGCCGCUGCCUGCUCGGGUGAGAAUGUCCCAGGGUUUACAAGGAUCUCACUGCUGCAGUUUAUCCCGGCGUUUCUCGCUCUCCUCUCCGAGGCUCCUUGCCCAAUCAAUCACGCGUACCGGCGGCACUUCCCUCAGGAAUCAGUGCGAGGCAGGGAGAGCAAACCCGGAGAGUGAGAGGCUCUUUGGAGGCUUUACUUUGAGCCAGAGCUGGUCUGGUCCCACUAGUGGGCUGCACAUCCAUUAGCAGUUGGAACAGAGUGGAUGCAUUCCUGGGGUGCAUCACCUGGGUUACCUGCAUCCAGAAGGAGCCAUGUUUUUGCAUGCCAGGAUUGUUCUGUGGGAAUUCCUUACUGCUUCUUAACAGGAAGAGCCAGCGGUGGAGCCAGACUGAGCUGGGAGCUGAGCUGGGGUAGCUCGCCCCUCCUGCUGACUUUGAGGGGGUGAGCAGGGACAGGCCUCCUUCCUGGGCCAGCAGUGCCAGGCAAAGGCAGCGCCUGUGCAGGAGAGGGGCCUGGAUGGUGUGUUGUCCCUAAAUAGCAGCUGCUGGUGCUGCUGUCGAGUGCAGAUGGACUCUUCAUCUGGCCCAGAAUGUGAUUCCUGUGUCCUUGUGUUCCACAGUGUGAGACAAACUGAAUAAAUUAGAAACUCUCUUGCAAAAGUAAGUUAAUGCAGGUGCACCCUAUGAUUCCCACCGAGAGAACAGGGAGGUGAUGCUCCAGCUCCCAGCCCUGCCUGUCUUACAGCUUAGCCCACCACAGCCAACACUUCAAAUUGCAAUAAAAUAAUUUGCUUUUUU